rnacentral:lncRNA from 1 species
ACAUUAAGAGUUGUUGUGAAUUAGCUGACAUUGUAUAACAUAAUUAUAAUUUUACAAAAUAAAAUAUUUAAUUGACUUUUUAAACUCAAUACAAAACAAAAUUAAAAAAACAAAGUUCAUCUUAUUCGUCUCCCAUCACCAUCCUAUCUUCUUAUCAUUUCCAAACAUCCAUUGUUAAACCCAACAACUGCUUUUCCCAAAUCCAUCUUUCACCAAACCCAAAAUCCUAUUCAUAUGUACACAUGAUCAAAUCUGCAUGUUUUAGAUCAGAUAUGUGUUGGUUUUUUAGAUUUAUCGAUGUCGAAGGGUGAAAUGAUUGACAAAGGGAAAGGGGACUCUGGUACCCAAAUUUGCUACUAGAAAAUAAUCCAUCUUUUCUCGAUUUGCAAUUCGUACCACUCCUUGAAUACGUCGACGAUCGACGGACAAAAACGGUAGUGGGUCCAGCUCAAGAGGAGAGAGCGACGAGGGAUCGAAGGAGCGAUCUGCCGGCGACGAUAGAGAGAUGUGGAAGCUGUAUAAAAAUCGGAUUCAUGAAGGAAUCAAGAAGGAGUGUGAUCAUCUGAUGCCAUGUUUAAUGCAAGAAUAAUCAAAAUUGAUUUGAGAGAGUAAGGAAAAGUGAGACGACCCAUUGGUGUUAAGUUUGACCGUUAAAUUAACGGUCAAAUUUGAAUUUUUGCCACAAUAUAUAUUUUCAAUAGAUUGUGCCAUUCUGGGUUAAGACCAAAUAGGUUGGGCCUCCAUAUAUCAUUAUUCCAUUAAAUAACACAAUUUUUUUUUCAUAUAUUAUAACAAAUGUUAGAAACCACGUAAAUUCAUACGAACGUAUUACGUUCGUAUUGAUACAUUUGUAUUGUCCAUUGAUACGUUCGUAUUGAUAUGUAAUACGUUCGUAUUGACUCGUAAUAAAAAAUUCUCGUUAAUACUUUUGUUAUUUCAUCUUAAUACGUUUGUUGUCGUUACGUUCGUAUUCCGGUAAUACGAAUGUAAUGACAAUUAAGAUAACAUACAUUUGUUAUAUCGUGAUAAUGCAUUCCCGUUAAUACGUUCAUUGUCAUUACAUUUGUUACUUCGUCUUACUACGUGCGUUGUCAUUACGUUUGUAUCACCGGAAUACGAACGUACUGACAACAAAGAUAACAUACGUUUGUUAUGUUGUCUUAAUACAUUCCCGUUAAUACGUUCAUUGUCAUUAUAUUUGCUCUUUAGUCUUAAUACAGUUGUUGUUAUUACUUUUGUAUUACCGAAAUAGGAACGUAUUAAGAAAAAAUUCAAACUCAUUACGUUCGUAUUAUCACAUCAUAAUCGGAAAACUCAGAAAAACACAAAGAAUCCAACCUAUUGUUUUGGGGUGGUUGUGUUCACGCUCCGAACUUCUUUCGUGUGAAGAUCCAACUAGUUAUGUAGUGUCUAAACCAAAAAUAUGAAAGAACACAAAGAAUAUGAUGAAGAACACAAGAACAAGAUGACUAACACGAAGAACAUAAAAUCAGAAAUCAAACCUAUUAUUUUUGAAGGGUUGUGUUGUACUUCUCAUGUCUUUUUUAGCAA